rnacentral:rRNA from 1 species
GCAAGUCGAGCGCACUCUUCGGAGUGAGCGGCGGACGGGUUAGUAACGCGUGGGAACGUACCCUUCUCUACGGAAUAGCCUCGGGAAACUGAGAGUAAUACCGUAUACGCCCUUUGGGGGAAAGAUUUAUCGGAGAAGGAUCGGCCCGCGUUAGAUUAGAUAGUUGGUGGGGUAAUGGCCUACCAAGUCUACGAUCUAUAGCUGGUUUUAGAGGAUGAUC